GUGAGAUAAAUCUAAGAUAUGGUUACAUGAGGGAAUUUGGAUGUGUGUAGAAGAGGUACAUGUUAAAAGAAGUAGGGAGGUGAGGAAAUGUAUGGAUGGUGGUAGAUAUUUAAUGUGAAUGAAGAGUUCCAUGAAGAAAAGAGAAACUCACUUUGUGCCUUUUUUUUCUCCCAUCCAUUUUUCUACUUUUUGUUUUUAUUUGAAAAUUAAGAGGCGUCAUUUGUGUGCAGUGGAUUGACUGAGUGUUUUUGUGUGUCCCUUAAUCAUUGGCCAUGUGUGUUA
rnacentral:lncRNA from 1 species